UAGAAAAUGGUGUAGUGGAAGCACUCAGAGUUUUGAUCUCUGUCGGAUGGGUUCGAGUCCCUUUUUUCUAA
rnacentral:tRNA from 1 species